UGAGGAAUAUUGGUCAAUGGGUGCAAGCCUGAACCAGCCAUCCCGCGUGAAGGACGACUGCCCUAUGGGUUGUAAACUUCUUUUGUAUAGGGAUAAACCUACCCUCGUGAGGGUAGCUGAAGGUACUAUACGAAUAAGCACCGGCUAACUCCGUGCCAGCAGCCGCGGUAAUACGGAGGGUGCAAGCGUUAUCCGGAUUUAUUGGGUUUAAAGGGUCCGUAGGCGGACUUAUAAGUCAGUGGUGAAAGCCUGUCGCUUAACGAUAGAACUGCCAUUGAUACUGUAAGUCUUGAGUAUAUUUGAGGUAGCUGGAAUAAGUAGUGUAGCGGUAAAAUGCAUAGAUAUUACUUAGAACACCAAUUGCGAAGGCAGGUUACCAAGAUAUAACUGACGCUGAGGGACGAAAGCGUGGGGAGCGAACA
rnacentral:rRNA from 1 species